rnacentral:rRNA from 1 species
UACGUAGGGCGCAAGCGUUGUCCGGAAUUAUUGGGCGUAAAGAGCUCGUAGGCGGCCUGUUGCGUCCGCUGUGAAAUCCCGGGGCUUAACCCCGGGCCUGCAGUGGAUACGGGCAGGCUGGAGGCAGGCAGGGGAGAACGGAAUUCCCGGUGUAGCAGUGAAAUGCGUAGAGAUCGGGAGGAACACCAGUGGCGAAGGCGGCCUUCUGGACCAGUACUGACGCUCAUGCACGAAAGCGUGGGGAGCAAACAGG